rnacentral:rRNA from 1 species
UACGUAGGCAGCAAACGUUGUUCGGAAUCACUGGGCGUAAAGCGCACGUAGGCGGAUUGUUAAGUCAGGGGUGAAAUCCUGGAGCUCAACUCCAGAACUGCCUUUGAUACUGGCGAUCUCGAGUCCGGGAGAGGUGAGUGGAACUGCGAGUGUAGAGGUGAAAUUCGUAGAUAUUCGCAAGAACACCAGUGGCGAAGGCGGCUCACUGGCCCGGUACUGACGCUGAGGUGCGAAAGCGUGGGGAGCAAACAGG